GACGAACGCUGGCGGCGUGCUUAACACAUGCAAGUCGAACGGAAAGGCCCUGCUUUUGUGGGGUGCUCGAGUGGCGAACGGGUGAGUAACACGUGAGUAACCUGCCCUUGACUUUGGGAUAACUUCAGGAAACUGGGGCUAAUACCGGAUAGGAGCUCCUGCUGCAUGGUGGGGGUUGGAACGUUUCGGCGGUUGGGGAUGGACUCGCGGCUUAUCAGCUUGUUGGUGGGGUAGUGGCUUACCCAGGCUUUGACGGGUAGCCGGCCUGAGAGGGUGACCGGCCACAUUGGGACUGAGAUACGGCCCAGACUCCUACGGGAGGCAGCAGUGGGGAAUAUUGCACAAUGGGCGGAAGCCUGAUGCAGCAGCGCCGCGUGCGGGAUGACGGCCUUCGGGGUGUAAACCGCUUUCGCCUGUGACGAAGCGUGAGUGACGGUAAUGGGUAAAGAAGCACCGGCUAACUACGUG
rnacentral:rRNA from 1 species